rnacentral:rRNA from 1 species
CAGUCGCCACGGUAACACGUAGGGUGCAAGCGUUAAUCGGAAUUACUGGGCGUAAAGCGUGCGCAGGCGGUUUCGUAAGACAGAUGUGAAAUCCCCGGGCUUAACCUGGGAACUGCAUUUGUGACUGCGAGGCUAGAGUGUGUCAGAGGGGGGUGGAAUUCCGCGUGUAGCAGUGAAAUGCGUAGAUAUGCGGAGGAACACCGAUGGCGAAGGCAAUCCCCUGGACCUGUACUGACGCUCAUGCACGAAAGCGUGGGGAGCAAACAGGAUUAGAUACCCGUGUAGUCCCUGUCUCUUAUAC